GUAGACUGUAGACUGGUGACUGUAACUUUGAGAACUGCAGAGAGGUUGUGUACAGAAGGGUAUUGAAAAGCAAAUCAAGAGAUCUUGCUAGGAACACAGGAUCGAUGAUGGAGGCAGUCUUGGAAGGAAAAAAACAAGGUUGCUUCCUGAGCUCAUCAUGGACCCAACCUGGCCUCCAUAGGCAGGACCCACCUUGAAUCUUGAAACUCUACUGGCCAUGAGACCAGACUUUAUUACCAUCAUGUGCAAGAGGCAGCAUGAGCCCAGUCAGCAGAGGAGCUGUCCGUGAUGUGCGAGAGGCGCAGCAGAGUGUGCGGAGAUCUCAAGAUCACCAGGGCGGGGCACUGUGAGCAGGACGCUCUCCGCUCCAGUGUGUGAUGGUUGGGAGAGGACGGCAGUGUGCUCCCUAUAAAACUCCUUUGCAGCUCUCCAAUCAGAGAGCUCAGAGGACUGACGUCCAGUUAUAGCCAUAGAGAUCGGGAGCCAGAUCAAAAAAUCACAGACAUACAAAAUAAUCCCACUAGAUUUUACCUAACGUGUAUUACAUCAUUUCAUAGAUCUCGCUAUUAGCUAUUAUUUUACUAACACAUAUUAAAAACAUAUCUUUCAAAAUAAAUACACGUUUAACAUAAUGUGUACAUCUUCCCUAUAGGAACAGGUUUGGUCUAUGAAGUGACACCGCAUACCAGGUGAGACUUACUGGGAUUGGUUCGUUAGCUGUGUACUUUAAAGAUCCUGAAUAUUGAUUGCAGCUUCCUCAU